rnacentral:tRNA from 1 species
GGGGCUGUAGCUUAGUGGCCGAGCGAAUGCUUGCCUACCAAUGCAGGAGGUACUGGGUUUGAUCCUCAGCACCCACA